rnacentral:tRNA from 1 species
GGGGCCAUAGCUCAGCCGGGAGAGCGCCUGCUUUGCAAGCAGGAGGUCACGGGUUCGAAUCCCGUUGGCUCCA